rnacentral:rRNA from 1 species
GUAACAGGCGAAUAAUUUAAUCUUUACAAACGGACAAACUCAGGAAACGGAGUGAAAUACGAAAAAGUUGAUAUUUUUAUAAAAGAAAAUCGAAACUAGCUUGAAAAAGCGGUAAAGAAUAAGACGCCAGCCCAUCAGUUAGUAAGUAGGGUAAGGGCCUAUUUAGACGAAUACGGGUACGGGGAAUUAGGGUUUGAUUCCGGAGAGGGAGCCUGAGAGACGGCUACCAGGUCCAAGGACGGCAGCAGGCGCGAAAAUUACCGAAGCUCGAAAUGAGGCGGUAGUAAUGAGACGUAAAUAAAUAAUACAAGGGUAAAAAACUUGUUAAUAACUGGAGGUCAAGUCUGGUGCCAGCA